rnacentral:lncRNA from 1 species
UCCCCCCCUUCCACUUAUCUGUUCUAGUUAUUGUUCCAUUUUAAUCUAGGUAUUUAUUAUUUUAUGGGUAGAUUAUCACUUUUACAUUUUUCUGCUCUAAUUCAUCAUGCAUAUCACUUUGAGAAUGUUUUUCUCUAGCUUAGAAGUUUAACAGUGAUUUCUUAGUACUUAUUAGAUCAGAUAUUAACUCUUUAGUCUUUUUUUUUUGACUAUCUCUGCAUCAACUGAUUUCUGCUUACUGAGAUAAUAAUCUCUUCUCAUUCGGUUUAAAUCAUUUUGAAUUGAGUUCAGUUCCAGUAAUACCAAAAUCAUGGCUUCAGUUCAAAACAGUCAAAUUUAUUUGUUCACUUUUAGAACUACAGAUGACAGGGUAUU